rnacentral:rRNA from 1 species
GCUAAUAACCUAGCCCAUUUAUAUUUCACUCUAUUAUUUAUGAACUAAAACAUUCAUCUCAUUUAGUAAAGGCGAUCAAAAAAUUUAUUGGAGCUAUAACAAUAGUACCGCAAGGGGAAGUUGAAAUAAAAAUGAAAUAAAUUUUAAGCAUAAAAAAGCAGAGAUUACCCCUCGUACCUUUUGCAUUAUGGUUUAACUAGUCUAAUCAAGCAAAAAGAACUUUAGUUUGACCUCCCGAAACUAAAUGAGCUACUUCGAGGCAGCUUAAUGAGCACACCCGUCUCUGUUGCAAAAGAGUGGGACGACCUCCAAGUAGCGGUGACAGACCUAACGAAUUUAGUGAUAGCUGGUUUCUUAAGAAAAGGAUUUUAGUCCCGCCUGAAGCACAAAAAGUAAUUUCAAACAGCACCCGUGCUUCAGCGUUAUUCAAAUGAGGUGCAGCCCGUUUGAAGUAAGGAUACAACCUACACUGGCGGGUAAACAAUUGUAUUAAUAACUAAGUGGGCCUAAAAGCAGCCACCUUUAAAAUAGCGUCAAAGCUUAUUUAUUCAUAUCCUUUAAUUUCAUAAUUUAUUAUUAACCCCCUAUUUCUAUUAAGUAAUCCUAUACUCCUAUAGGAGAUAUUAUGUUAAAACUAGUAAUAAGAAGAAGUCCUUCUCUUAAAUGAAAGUGUAAAUCAGAAAGGACCCGCCACUGAUAAUUAGACGUCUAUGACUACAAACAGCAACUUCCCUAGAAAAUCCUGUUACUUUAAACGUUAACCUGACACUAGCUCAUUUUAAGAAAGAUUAAAAGAAAAAGAAGGAACUCGGCAAACAUUAACCUCGCCUGUUUACCAAAAACAUCGCCUCUUGUACUAAUAUAAGAGGUCCAGCCUGCCCAGUGAUUUUAUUUAACGGCCGCGGUAUCCUAACCGUGCGAAGGUAGCGUAAUCACUUGUUCUUUAAAUGAGGACUAGUAUGAAUGGCAUCACGAGGGUUAAGCUGUCUCCUUUUUCUAAUCAAUGAAACUGAUCUCCCCGUGAAGAAGCGGGGAUAAUUUUAUAAGACGAGAAGACCCUAUGGAGCUUUAAACUAAGUAGCAUUGAUAUAUCUGUUAAGACCUCAAGUCAGUAACUUCUACUAUUGUCUUCUGACUACUAGUUUUAGGUUGGGGUGACCGCGGAGCAAAAAUUAACCUCCAUGAUGUAUAAAAACCCUUUUGAGCCAAAAGCCACAACUUUAAGCACCAUAACAUUGACAUAAGUUGACCCAAUUCUUUGAACAACGAACCAAGUUACCCUAGGGAUAACAGCGCAAUCCACUUCAAGAGCUCCUAUCGACAAGUGGGUUUACGACCUCGAUGUUGGAUCAGGGUAUCCGAGUGGUGCAACCGCUACUAAUGGUUCGUUUGUUCAACGAUUAAAACCCU